UCCUACGGGAGGCAGCAGUGAGGAAUAUUGGUCAAUGGGCGGGAGCCUGAACCAGCCAAGUAGCGUGAAGGAUGACUGCCCUACGGGUUGUAAACUUCUUUUGUUUGGGAAUAAAAGACGCUACGUGUAGCGUUGUGCAUGUACCUUACGAAUAAGCAUCGGCUAAUUCCGUGCCAGCAGCCGCGGUAAU
rnacentral:rRNA from 1 species